rnacentral:rRNA from 1 species
AACGAACGCUGCGGCAUGCCUAACACAUGCAAGUCGAACGAGACCUUCGGGUCUAGUGGCGCACGGGUGCGUAACGCGUGGGAACCUGCCCUUAGGUUCGGAAUAACUCCCCGAAAGGGGUGCUAAUACCGGAUAAUGUCUUCGGACCAAAGAUUUAUCGCCUUUGGAUGGGCCCGCGUUGGAUUAGCUAGUUGGUAGGGUAAAAGCCUACCAAGGCGACGAUCCAUAGCUGGUCUGAGAGGAUGAUCAGCCACACUGGGACUGAGACACGGCCCAGACUCCUACGGGGGGCAGCAGUGGGGAAUAUUGGACAAUGGGCGAAAGCCUGAUCCAGCAAUGCCGCGUGAGUGAUGAAGGCCUUAGGGUUGUAAAGCUCUUUUACCCGGGAUGAUAAUGACAGUACCGGGAGAAUAAGCUCCGGCUAACUCCGUG